rnacentral:tRNA from 1 species
UCGCCUCCGGCGGGGGGUGUCUGCUGGUGUCGGUUUGCCUCCGGCGGCGGUGGGGUUUCGGUGUCGGUUCGCCUCCGGCGGGGGUGGG